UGACAGAUUUAAUUAGAUCGAGGACGCGGACGUCAAAGACGACGUGAAAAUGGCGUGUUGUGCCCAUCCAUGUAUGGAUAUGCCACGCCAUUUUGACGUCAUUUUCACGUCGUCUUUGACGUCCGUGUCCUCGAUCUAAAUCUGUCA
rnacentral:miRNA from 1 species